GACGAACGCUGGCGGCGUGCUUAACACAUGCAAGUCGAACGGAAAGGCCCUGCUUUUGUGGGGUGCUCGAGUGGCGAACGGGUGAGUAACACGUGAGUAACCUGCCCCUGACUUUGGGAUAACUUCAGGAAACUGGGGCUAAUACCGGAUAGGAGCUCCUGCUGCAUGGUGGGGGUUGGAAAGUUUCGGCGGUUGGGGAUGUACUCGCGGCUUAUCAGCUUGUUGGUGGGGUAGUGGCUUACGAAGGCUUUGACGGGUAGCCGGCCUGAGAGGGUGACCGGCCACAUUGGGACUGCGAUACGGCCCAGAGUCCUACGGGAGGCAGCAGUAGGGAAUAUUGCACAAUGGGCGGAAGCCUGAUGCAGCAACGCCGCGUGCGGGAUGACGGCCUUCGGGUUGUAAACCGCUUUCGCCUGUGACGAAGCGUGAGUGACGGUAAUGGGUAAAGAAGCACCGGCUAACUACGUG
rnacentral:rRNA from 1 species